rnacentral:lncRNA from 1 species
UGAGUAUAUGAUCAUGAUUGAGCAAGAAAAUCACCCAACUUAUUUCUAUGAAAUUUUUCGAAAAUUAGGGGCUUGAAACCCUACGAAAAAUUGUUGUUUGUUUUCUUGAAUUGGCUUGAGUUAUAUGAUGAUUGAUGAUUAUUGAGUUAAUAUAUAUGAAUAUCUUGAUGAUUAGCCAUGAGAUAUAGAUUUUUCUAUUAGGUUAGUUUACCUAAAAUUGGGAUGUUGAGAUCCUAUGGAUCAAUUGAUGUAUUGAUGAUGGAUUUGAGUUUAUGAGAUGAUUUAGAUGAUUAAUGAUGGAUGAGAUUGAAGCUUGAGGUUGAGAGGUGAAAAAUGAAAAGUGUUAGUUUGAGGAAGAAGAUGACAUACAUGUGUAUCUAUAUGUGAUCUUGUUUUAUGAUGUUGAUUUGUGCUAAUUGGUAACCUAGGAUGUUAGAUCUAUGAUUUGAUCAAUAGGUUAUACAUGAUUAGUGAUAUUUUCAAAAGAGUUUAGUUUAAUAAAAAUUAGGACUUUUUGCCUAUGUGUUAUUAAAGUGAUUUUGGCUUAAGAUAUAUGUAUUUGAGCAUGAUAUUAGUGUAUAAUUAUGUUUGAGUAAGUCUUUUGUUGGCUAAGAAAAAUUUUGACUUAGUUUAGUUUAUAUGAGUUUUUGAGUUUUCAUAUUUUGAGAAGUCGAUGAUUGAUAAAAUGAGGUUUAAUUGCUUUAUGACCAUUAUGUGAAAGUUUGUCAUGUUUUAUUAAGAGUUUUAUGAUGAUACAUGAAGUUUCAUUAGAGUUUAGUACAUGAUAAAAGGGAAUCUAUAUGUGUAUAAUGAUUUAUAUGAUGAAUGAGAUCAUGUUUGAAUAAUUGAGUAAUUUUGUGCAUGAAAAUGAAAAGAGAAUUUUAAUGAUGCGUUCAUUGAAACGUUUUACUAGAGAUUUGAGGUUAUGAUGUAAGAAGAGAGUCAAGAUUUGAGUAUGAUGAGCAUUAUAUUGUGCUUGAAUGUUUGUGAGUGUUAUAUGUGUUUAAAAUGAGCUUUAAUGAGUUUCCUUGAAGGAAUGUUGAGUUGAGUAUUUUAAGAGUUUGAGAUGAGAUUUUGGUGAAUUUCGUAGGCCUACUGACCUACUGUGAUCGACGGUUUUUCAAUGUCAAAAAGCUUUGAAAUUUUAAUACCAAGUCUCUACAUGAGUCUUGAGAACAUCGGUAAAAUUUCAAGUCAUUUGGACUUCGUCUAUUAUUUUUAUAAAAUACAAAACCGAAACUGCACAUUACUACCGAGAGUUUCAGAGAGCAGGGGAAAGAGUCAUUCAUUUCAGUAGCUUCCUGUGUGAUCUAGCUUUCCAAAAUUUUAUGGUAUUAACCUUAUUGUGUUAGCUAGAUAUCCACAAAAUUUGAGCCCAGUUUGACAAUAUUUACUAUUUUUUCAAAAAUCCAAGUUUUCGAUUGCUCAAAACUGCCGAAUAUGGUAGACUGUAGUAAAACAGUCAUGUCUCCUACAAUACUUGGAGUUUUUGACUCUACUUUUUUUUAUAUGAAAAUAGACUCGAAGACCUUUCUUUUGGUAUGAGUCUCGAAUUCAAGAGGUGUCGGAGUAAGAACAUGUUAGAUUUUGAAGUUGAGUCAGUGUAAAAACAGAGCAUGUUUUGAUAAUGUUUGAUUGUGUUUUCUUAUGUGCCUUAUGUGAUUGUGUUGUCUAUGUGUUGAAUGAGAUUAGACGAGCCUUAUAUGAGAGAUAAUCGAGACUUAGUACCAUGAUUUUCUUGAAACCUAUCCUUGAACUUAAGGAUUUGAGAUGAGUGGAGAGUUUAUAUAGAGAUGAGUAAAGAGAUAGAAUAGGAGAUAGAACAUGAGUUAAGGCUUUAUGAGUAUGGAUUUUAAAAGGAUUAAAAUGUUUUAAAUCAAUUCUUUUUUAAUGGAGUUUAAAAUGCUUAUUUAAGUCAUUUAUAAAUGAAUAAUGAGAAAUGCGUAAAGAAGUUCGUAAAUGAAUCGCGGCAUGAGAUUUUCAAUUCCCCUAGUAAAUUAGGGAGAUAUUAUGAAGGAACAAGCAAUGAACGAGACACUACAACAAUUAAUAUUACAGUAUUAAUACUGUAUAAGAAAUGGACAAUUUCUUAACAUUAAAGUAUAUGGAAAUGUCACUCAUAAAUAAAAAGCUAGGAUCAUAUAUGAUCAUUUGGAUACUUAUAACACAUACACAUAAAGGAGAACUGAUUAAGGUGGGUUACCCAAUAACACGUGUCACAACUUCAUAACAUAGAGUUAUCCUAAUCAAAGUGUUUUGCAGCGGAAAACGUGUGAGAUAUACAUAUGAAGAUGUAUACUCAAGGUUACAUUUCUUGAAAUGUCAAAGGAACACCCGCUCAACAUCAUUCCAUUCCAUCAACUGCUCAACCUGCACAUUUAGAAAUACAUGCAGGGCUGAGUAUAAAAAUACUCAGUGGGCAUAGCCGAAAAUACAACAUGCAUACAUAUAUAAAUUGAACUGCCAUAACAGUAACACACAGGGGUUUUCUUAAAUGACCUGCGCUUACUAAAAUAUUUCUUUCAUUUUCAUAAAGUCGAUCGGCCGAUCAUUUUCCUUCAUAUGAUCCAUAUCUGUUCCUUUCUGUCACGCGCCGGGAAGGAGGCCUCCUUACCACGGACGCCAAGACCGGUCGCAAGCGACUCGCGAUCUCCAUAAGUGUACACGUUAACCCUAGCUAGCGACCUUUGUCUAGCAUAGGAUCCCAAUUGGAUUUCCUUUAAAGUUGGCGAACCAACACAGAUAGGAUACAUAUAAAAACAUAAACAUUUUUGGCAGUCAAUCAUUUCAUAAACAUUUCAUUUCAUUUCAUGAACAUUUCAUUUUCAUUUCAUAAGAGUCAUUUAUCAUUUGGGCAUAAUAAUAAACUGAAAUUAACAGUUAAAAUCAUCUCAUGCAUAUAUUCGUAUAAGAGGCCUACGACACGCAGGGGAUCUCUAUAUACGUAUAGUAAAAGUAAUGCCCACCUGGAUAGGCAAAGCCUGAAGAUCAUAAUCACAUAUACCUGUCUUGGGAAAGCAGUGCUAAUCCCCCUGGUCCACAAAGCCUACAAGAAAUCUAUUCUCAAUAGGUCUCCUUGAAUCUAAUCUUAAGUCAUGGUGUAGUGCUUAACAUUCUAUGAUUCACUUAGCCGGGUUUUCAAAAUUUAAUGAAUAAAUAAUUGAAAACUAUUUUUCUUGAGUUAAGAACACCAACAAUAUUCUUACUCACUUUUCUUAAAUAAUUGGAAUUAUAAUUAAAACCAAUUAAAUACUUUUAUUGCAAAAUAAAUGCAACUUCAUGUCAUGCUUAGCAUAUAAUAAGUAAUUUACUUAAAAUAUGCACAUAAUAAUAAUAUGAUAUUAUUAUGAAAAUUAUCCUUUAAAUAAAUUAAUCAAACUAGUAAUAGUUCAAUUAAUUAAAAAUAAGAAAGCCCAAUUUAAUUAAUUGAAGGCAAUCCAAAGUCUUUAAAAAUAAUUAAUCAAACUAAUUAAUAGUCUAAUUAAAUAAAAUAGGGAAGCCAUUUAUAUAGAUGAAAUAGAGCCCAUGCUUAAAUAAAUAAUAGUCCAUAUAAAUUUAAAAGAUGAGGCCCAACUCAAUAAAAUAGGAAUGGCCCAAACUGAAUAAAAUGAAUCGGGCCCAGCUAAAUAAAAUUAAAAAAAAUACGGCCCAAGCUUUUUAAAAAAAAUCGCAGCCCAAAACUAUUUAAAAAUAGGCCCAAUACUCGGCCCAAGUCCCUCAAGCCCAAACCUCUAAGCCCAACCCAAGCCCAACAACCCCAAACUAAGCCCUAGCCCAAACACUCACCCUUUUCUCCCCCUUCAGACGCACACGCACACACACACAACCACAAACGCACACACACACAAACACAAACGCAGCAGCACUCAGAUGGAAGAACACACACACACGCACGCCAAGAACUCGGUCUCUCUCUCCCUCUUCCAGAAGUAAGCUCGCCGGAGGAGCAGCGGCGACGAGCCGCGCCAUCCUCGGCUCUCUCUCAAUUGCCCGUUCCUCCCUCUCCCUCGGAAUUCCGCUGCCGCCGCCGCCGAAGCUUGCCAGAGCAACAGCGACAGCCGCUGACGACGCUCGGCUCUGUGACUGCAGCGGCGAAGGCUGCCGCGGCCACCUCCGGUCGUCCUCGCCUCUCCCGUUCACGUCUCCCUCUCUCUCACACCCCGGCACGCACAGGCGACGCGCACCCAACUGACAGGCGGCGAAGCAGCGGCAAUAAAUCAUCGCCUCAUCUCCCUCUGUACCCCCCAUGUUCUCUCUCCUCCUCGGCGACGACGGAACGCAGCCGCCUCCCUCGGCCUCUCUCUCUCUCAUUGUGCGCCGGAAGUACAACAGCAAUGAGCUGCCGCCGUCCUCCGCUCAACCCUGCUCUCCCUCCGUCCGUGGCCGGACGACAGCGGCAGGGCCGCCGCGCCACGGCCUCCCUCUGCGAAAUCUCAGCCUAGUCCAGCCACCACCCCGACUCGACUCACACCCAAAAACAGCAACCCGACUCAACGUUCCAAACACUCAGAUCCGACAGACAAGAACAAAGUUUAAAACUUCAAUUAUCGACAUGUUUCAAAAUAUUUCUAUUCUUCUUUCUUCUCUUAUUUAAAAAAAUAAUCAUGCUCUGAUGUAUAUAUAUAUAAUGUACAUACAUAUAUGCUUGUGAAUGUGUUGGUUUUACUGGUAGUUGUAUGCUAUGAAUAAUUUAGAUGAAAAGCUCAGCAGAGUAAAGAAUUUGAGAGAGAGAUAUGCAGUGUAUGGUUUUUAAAAAAAAAUUGAACCUUUGAAGCUCUUUGCUUUGCUAGGGAGUUGUUACUGCACAAUCAAGAGGAAAAGAACUUAGAUUCUUAUUGCUGUAGAAAGAAGCUUGCUGCAGGUUGAGAAAUUUGGUGAAGGGGCCUUACGAAAAUAUUUUGGUGGAAUAAGUGAGAGAGAGCUUGGCUGUUGUAUAUCUUUGAAACAACAGAGGAGUCUUGGGGAGCUGUAAAGAUCCUGCAAGGAGCUGUAAAGAUCCUGCAUAAGAUCUGCUAAAAUUUGGGAUAAGAUUUGCUAAGAUAUGUAAUGAUUUGAUUGCCUGUAAAGGAGUAGGUGUAGUGGGUGUAUUGCAGUAGGGAAGUUGGUGAUGUGCUGCAGUAGAGGAGUUAGUGGUGGGAGUAGGUGUAGGAAAAAAAAUAAAAUAAAAUAAGAUAAAAUAAAAUAAAAAGUCUUCCAGGUUGUACUAUGAAAACUGUAAUAAUUCUUCAGUGUUUGCUUAAAUAAAAGCUCGUGAAAAUGCUUUGAUUGCUAAAUUAAAUAAAUAUGCAAUGCAUAUAAAUUUAAUAAUUAAAUUUACAAAUGUUUUUGUAAAUUAUUUUUGUUGGAAUUAAAAUAAAUUCUUUUUCUCAAUCCGGCGUGAAUCAUCUUAAAUCUUAAGUUCAAAAUAAAUUCUAAAUUUAACUCAGGAAAAACGGGGUAUUACAUUCCUCCCUCCUUAUAAAAAUUUCGUCCUCGAAAUUGCAUAUCUGGUGUUCUAUCUUGUGAUACUUGUCAUUCGUUUCAUUCAUCUCUUUUGUGGCCUUUUCCAUCCUGUGAUGGUUCCACUACAUGACGAGAACAAUAUUAUUGCCUCGUAAAACUUGAAUCUUGCGAUCAAGUAUCUGGACUGAUUUCUCAUCACAACUUAGGUCCUGGCUAGGACUACUUUAUCUUACUUAAUCACAUGCUUUCUUAAUUGCGAGGUGCUAUACGUAUUGUAUACAUCCACAAUGCUUGGUGGCAGAGCCAACUUAUAGGCUACAAAGGCCUAACUUAUCUAGGGUCUCAAAAAGUCCUAUAUAACGGGGUCGUAACUUGCCCCUCUUUCCGAAACGUAUAACUCCCUUUGAGGGAGAGACUUUGAGGAAAACUCGAUCCCCAACAUUAAAUUCUAAUUCCAAUCGGCGUUUAUCGGCGUAAGACUUUUGUCUAUCUUGAGUUUCUUUGAUUCUUUGCUUGAUGUGGUCGACUUUCUCAAUCGCCUGUUGGACCAGUUCAGGACCUAACAACAUUCUUUCACCCACUUCAUUUUAGUAAAGUGGUGGACUACCUUAAUUGUUUCCUUCGUCCUAAGUCACCUUCUCAGAUUUGACUAGGGACUUCUAAUAUAAAACUUUUCUCAUCAUCUUGGUAACUUUCACUUAAAGAUUAAUGGCACUCCUUCUGCCAUGUAAACUCAUUUUCUCAUUUCCAAAUGAUUAUUUAAUGAGGGUUUCUAAGUUUCCAUUGUGGUGGCGUUCCAACUUUAUUCUUGCUGUAGCUUCUGGCACUUUAGUCAAAGCAUUCACUCUCUUAGCUUGAGCCUACUAGCCUUGGGGUUGGGUUAUACCUUAAGUUUAGUUCUAGUGCUUUCCUUCCAUUUCCUUUUUCUUUACCUCCAUCUUGAGGUGGUGUACAUAUCUUGUUUGUGCGUGAACUUUUUCCUUCUCCAAUUUAUUGUAGUGACUCGGUGGUNUAGAGAUUAUUGAGAGAGUGUAGAGAUUAGAGAGAGAGUGUAGAGAUUAGAGAGAUCAAGGCAUUAAUUGCCAAUAUUUCCUUAAGAUUACAAAAUCCUCUUUAAAGAUCACAAGAUCAUUUACAAUCUUGCAAAAUCCUCUCUCACUCCUCACUCAUCAUUUCGACCAACACCUCUCUCCCUCUUUCUCUCACUUUCCUCCAUUUUCCUCCACUAAAGAGACCUUCGAAGCUUACCCCAAAAAAAAAAAAAAAAAAAAAAAAAAAAAAAUAAACAAAACACCUCAAUCCACUCUAAAAUCUUCCAUAAACACAUCCUAGCUACUUAUAUUCAAGAGAAUCAUUGAAGAAAGGCUUCCAAGCUAGAGUGAGAAAAUAUGAGUUUUGGUGAGAAACUUGGGUAAGUGAUUCUUAUUUUAUAAAUCUAGAUUGUAUGAUGAGUAUAUGAUCAUGAUUGAGCAAGAAAAUCACCCAACUUAUUUCUAUGAAAUUUUCGAAAAUUAGGGGCUUGAAACCCUACGAAAUUUGUUGUUUGUUUUCUUGAAUUGGCUUGAGUUAUAUGAUGAUUGAUGAUUAUUGAGUUAAUAUAUAUGAAUAUCUUGAUGAUUAGCCAUGAGAUAUAGAUUUUUCUAUUAGGUUAGUUUACCUAAAAUUGGGAUGUUGAGAUCCUAUGGAUCAAUUGAUGUAUUGAUGAUGGAUUUGAGUUUAUGAGAUGAUUUAGAUGAUUAAUGAUGGAUGAGAUUGAAGCUUGAGGUUGAGAGGUGAAAAAUGAAAAGUGUUAGUUUGAGGAAGAAGAUGACAUACAUGUGUAUCUAUAUGUGAUCUUGUUUUAUGAUGUUGAUUUGUGCUAAUUGGUAACCUAUGAUGUUAGAUCUAUGACUUGAUCAAUAGGUUAUACAUGAUUAGUGAUAUUUUCAAAAGAGUUUAGUUUAAUAAAAAUUAGGACUUUUUGCCUAUGUGUUAUUUAAGUGAUUUUGGCUUAAGAUAUAUGUAUUUGAGCAUGAUAUUAGUGUAUAAUUAUGUUUGAGUAAGUCUUUUGUUGGCUAAGAAAAUUUUUGACUUAGUUUAGUUUGUAUGAGUUUUUGAGUUUUCAUAUUUUGAGAAGUCGAUGAUUGAUAAAAUGAGGUCUAAUUGCUUUAUGACCAUUAUGUGAAAGUUUGUCAUGUUUUUUUUAAGAGUUUUAUAAUGAUACAUGAAGUUUCAUUAGAGUUUAGUACAUGAUAAAAGGGAAUCUAUAUGUGUAUAAUGAUUUAUAUGAUGAAUGAGAUCGUGUUGAAUAAUUGAGUAAUUUUGUGCAUGAAAAUGAAAAGAGAAUUUUAAUGAUGCGUUCAUUGAAACGUUUUACUAGAGAUUUGAGGUUAUGAUGUAAGAAGAGAGUCAAGAUUUGAGUAUGAUGAGCAUUAUAUUGUGCUUGAAUGUUUGUGAGUGUUAUAUGUGUUUAAAAUGAGCUUUGAUGAGUUUCCUUGAAGGAAUGUUGAGUUGAGUAUUUUAAGAGUUUGAGAUGAGAUUUUGGUGAAUUUCGUAGGCCUACUGACCUACUGUGAUCGACG